UACGUAGGGUGCAAGCGUUGUCCGGAAUCAUUGGGCGUAAAGCGCGCGUAGGCGGCCCUGUUAGUCCGCUGUAAAAGUCAAAGGCUCAACCUUUGAAUGCCGGUGGAUACUGCAGGGCUAGAGUCCGGAAGAGGCGAGUGGAAUUCCUGGUGUAGCGGUGGAAUGCGCAGAUAUCAGGAGGAACACCAACGGCGAAGGCAGCUCGCUGGGACGGUACUGACGCUGAGGCGCGAAAGCGUGGGGAGCGAACAGG
rnacentral:rRNA from 1 species